GACGAACGCUGGCGGCGUGCUUAACACAUGCAAGUCGAACGGAAAGGCCCUGCUUGCAGGGUACUCGAGUGGCGAACGGGUGAGUAACACGUGGGUGAUCUGCCCUGCACUUCGGGAUAAGCCUGGGAAACUGGGUCUAAUACCGGAUAGGAGCCAUUUUUAGUGUGAUGGUUGGAAAGUUUUUUCGGUGUAGGAUGAGCUCGCGGCCUAUCAGCUUGUUGGUGGGGUAAUGGCCUACCAAGGCGGCGACGGGUAGCCGGCCUGAGGGGGUGGACGGCCACAUUGGGACUGAGAGAAGGCCCAGACGCCUACGGGAGGCAGAAGUGGGGAAUAUUGCACAAUGGGCGCAAGCCGGAUGCAGAGACGCCGCGGGGGGGAUGACGGCCUUCGGGUUGUAAACUCGUUUCGCUAGGGACGAAGCUUUUUGUGACGGUACCUAGAUAAGAAGCACCGGCUAACUACGUG
rnacentral:rRNA from 1 species